CGAAGGACCCGAGCGUUAUCCGGAUUUAUUGGGUUUAAAGGGUGCGUAGGCGGACUAGUAAGUCAGUGGUGAAAGCCCAUCGCUUAACGGUGGAAUUGCCAUUGAUACUGCUAGUCUUGAGUAUGGUUGAGGUGGCGGAAUGUGUCAUGUAGCGGUGAAAUGCUUAGAUAUGACCCAGAACACCAAUUGCGAAGGCAGCUCGCUAAGCCAUAACUGACGCUGAGGCACGAAAGCGUGGGGAGCAAACAGGAUUAGAUACCCUGGUAGUCCACGCCCUAAACUAUGAUAACUCGUUGUUGGCGAUACACAGUCAGCGACUAAGCGAAAGCAUUAAGUUAUCCACCUGGGAAGUACGACCGCAAGGUUG
rnacentral:rRNA from 1 species